rnacentral:rRNA from 1 species
AUUGAACGCUAGCGGGAUGCCUUACACAUGCAAGUCGAACGGAGUGGCGAACGGGUGAGUAAUGUAGAGGAAAGUGCCAAGUCGCGGGGGAUAACGAUGAGUAAGCGUAGCCAAUAACGCAAACUAUUGGAGUGGCCAUUAUCGAAUUAGCUAGUUGGUGGGGCAACGGCUCACCAGGACGACGAUCCCAAGCUGGUUUGAGAGGACGACCAGCCACACUGGGACUGAGACACGGCCCAGACUCCUACGUGAGGCAGCAGUGGGGAAUUUUGGACAAUGGGGGAAACCCUGAUCCAGCCAUCCCGCGUGUGCGAUGAAGGCCUUCGGGUUGUAAAGCACUUUUGGCAGGAAAGCGGUACCUGCAGAAUAAGCACCGGCUAACUCCGUGCCAGCAGCCGCGGUAAUAC